GUGUACCGCAUGCGUACACUCCGGUUCUGCGUGUGCCCUCCGCACCACCACCUGACGAUUGCCCGCUACCUUCUGUUAGCC
rnacentral:sRNA from 1 species